AGUAUUGAUAUACAUGCUCAAUUACUUCGAUGUCAACCAAUACUAAAUUUUGAACCUGGUUUUGAAAAAUGUAAUUGAUUUAAUGGGAAGUAUCAAAGGUUAAAUUCUGGAUACUCCUCUUUCUGAUGCAACUGGUUUUUGGUAUGCUUGCAGAAUUUUCUUUUAUUCUUACUCUAAAUGCAUUCCGCAUCUUUGCAGUUUCUUGCGCCGAAGACACAAAUA
rnacentral:misc_RNA from 1 species